GUCACCAAGGCUGAUACAAUCUCAACCAUGGUCCAACCCAGGAGAUGGAGAAGAGGCAACGAAGACUCCUCCGAGAGGCCCAGUGUUACCACUUUCCCCCAAAGAGGAAAGGCCAUGUGAGGAGGACCCAACAAACAGCAGGCCAUGUGCGAGCCAGGAACAGAGGCCUCACCAGAAACCAACGCUGACAGUACCUGAUCUUGGACUUCCAGAACUGUGAACUAAAACGGUCGGUAUGCCCAACCAUUGUGACAGCUACAGAAUACGAAGACAAAAAGUAGGAGCCAACAGCUACUUCUUCAGGUGGUUUUGCUUGUUUUGAGGGGUCCGAGUAAAUCGGAAGGGGUAUUUAGCCCUUCCUUUCCCUAGGCCCAUCCUCUCUAGCUCCCUUCCAAUCCCUACUGUAGAAAUCAGCCUUGAUCUUUUCAUACAAUAUGCAGCUAUCUGCUCUUUCUUACAUAAACAUUUGCAAUUCACCAAGGAGAAUGUGUGAUGCAUCUUGCAUGCUUAUCAAGCGCCACAAGAACUUUACAGAUUACUGCCUGCCUCAGGAUUCCAGUUCCCUGGUGCUUAUGCAUAAGCAAUGGAUUUAUGCAAACAUUGUAACAUUUCCAAACAGACUGUGACAUGAGUUGUUCCUAGUUCAUAUAAGGUUCAGAUAUGCAGCCUAUUUUCUGAUCCUACUAGAUCAUUCAUCUCAUCGAGUUUAAAAUGUAUCAUCUCAGCUUAUAAUGUUGUCAAUAUAAAAUGUCAUAAUGUGGUACUCAAUUUGAACAGCAAGAUGGAUAUUAAUCUCAGAGGUUUUCAUGCACGGCUGGGGUGGGACUGUAUAACGUGCAACAGCAAUGGUCUGUUUGUUUGCAUCACACACCAUAUGCAUAGGUGGUAAACAUUUUGUUACAUUAUAGACUGACUACUAAUUCUCCUUGAUCUAGAGUGUUUAUAUAGCCCCAGUGGUAUAAUAUGCAUUAUAACUUA